rnacentral:rRNA from 1 species
GGAUUAGAUACCCUGGUAGUCCACGCCGUAAACGAUGAUAACUCGUUGUAGGCGAUACACAGUCUGUAACUAAGGGAAACCGAUAAGUUAUCCACCUGGGGAGUACGACCGCAAGGUUGAAACUCAAAGGAAUUGACGGGGGCCCGCACAAGCGGAGGAACAUGUGGUUUAAUUCGAUGAUACGCGAGGAACCUUACCCGGGCUUGAAAGUUAGCGACGGAUUUGGAAACAGGUCUUCUCUUCGGAGCGCGAAACUAGGUGCUGCAUGGUUGUCGUCAGCUCGUGCUG